CAGUCGCCGCGGUAAUACGUAGGUGGCAAGCGUUGUCCGGAAUUAUUGGGCGUAAAGCGCGCGCAGGCGGAUAGGUCAGUCUGUCUUAAAAGUUCGGGGCUUAACCCCGUGAGGGGAUGGAAACUGCUGAUCUAGAGUAUCGGAGAGGAAAGUGGAAUUCCUAGUGUAGCGGUGAAAUGCGUAGAUAUUAGGAAGAACACCAGUGGCGAAGGCGACUUUCUGGACGAAAACUGACGCUGAGGCGCGAAAGCCAGGGGAGCGAACGGGAUUAGAUACCCGAGUAGUCCCUGUCUCUUAUACA
rnacentral:rRNA from 1 species